rnacentral:rRNA from 1 species
ACUCCUACGGGAGGCAGCAGUUGGGAAUAUUGGACAAUGGGGGAAACCCUGAUCCAGCAAUCCCGCGUGAGUGAUGAAGGCUCUAGGGUCGUAAAGCUCUUUCAAGCAGGGAAGAAGAUCUGACGGUACCUGCAGAAGAAGCACCGGCUAACUCCGUGCCAGCAGCCGCGGUAAUACGGAGGGUGCAAGCGUUGUUCGGAAUUAUUGGGCGUAAAGCGCGUGUAGGCGGCCAGGUAAGUCUGAUGUGAAAGCCCAGGGCUCAACCCUGGACGUGCAUUGGAUACUGUCUGGCUAGAGGGCGAGAGAGGAAAGUGGAAUUCCUGGUGUAGGGGUGAAAUCCGUAGAUAUCAGGAGGAACAUCUGUGGCGAAGGCGACUUUCUGGCUCGUUACUGACGCUGAGACGCGAAAGCGUGGGGAGCAAACAGGAUUAGAUACCCUGGUAGCGAG